AACCCCUUCUGGGGGGCGGCGGUAGCGGUCAGCCGGCCUCGAGCGUCACCUAGGGCGGGUCGUCAUGACCCCCGCGAGGGGGGAAGCGGCGAGAGCCGCACCCGCCCACAGGUGGACCUCGAUCGUCCCGUGCAGUUGGAGGCGGGUACCCGUCCGUCCGCGAAUCCCGAACACCUUCUACCCCUGAUUAUGAGAACCUCACCGUUUCCUCGGCGGGCUCGCCCGCCGGUGGACACCAACCAACUUCUUUGCAGUCUAGCAGUGCCUGUCUGACAUAAAAUAGCAAAUAAUCAAAACUUUCAACGACGGAUCUCUUGGUUCUGGCAUCGAUGAAGAACGCAGCGAAAUGCGAUAAGUAGUGUGAAUUGCAGAAUUCAGUGAAUCAUCGAAUCUUUGAACGCACAUUGCGCCCUUUGGUAUUCCGAAGGGCAUGCCUGUUCGAGCGUCAUUUGACCCCUCAAGCUCUGCUUGGUGUUGGGCGUUUGUCCCGCCUCUUUCGGCGCGGACUCGUCUUGAAGUCAUUGGCGCCGACGAGCCGUACCGGAGCGCAGCAGAUGAGGCGCUUUCCCGGGGCGGCCCGCCGGCCACCGCGAAGUAAAACCCACGCUCUUGACCUCGGAUCAGGUAGGGAUACCCGCUGAACUUAAGCAUAUCAAUAAGCGGAGGAAAAGAAACCAACAGGGAUUGCCCUAGUAACGGCGAGUGAAGCGGCAACAGCUCAAAUUUGAAAUCUGGUCUCUUCGGUGGCCCGAGUUGUAAUUUGCAGAGGGCGCUUCGGCGGCGGCCCCGGCCUAAGUUCCUUGGAACAGGACGUCACAGAGGGUGAGAAUCCCGUACGUGGUUGUCGGCCAACGCCAUGUGAAGCCCCUUCGACGAGUCGAGUUGUUUGGGAAUGCAGCUCUAAAUGGGAGGUAAAUUUCUUCUAAAGCUAAAUACUGGCCAGAGACCGAUAGCGCACAAGUAGAGUGAUCGAAAGAUGAAAAGCACUUUGGAAAGAGAGUCAAAAAGCACGUGAAAUCGUUGAAAGGGAAGCGCUUGCAGCCAGACGUGCCCGCGGAUGCUCAUCCAGGCUCUUGCCUGGUGCACUCUUCCGCGGGCAGGCCAGCAUCAGCUCUGGCGGUCGGAUAAAGGCUUCGGGAACGUAGCUCCCCUCGGGG
rnacentral:rRNA from 1 species